UACGUAGGGUGCAAGCGUUAAUCGGAAUUACUGGGCGUAAAGCGUGCGCAGGCGGUUUUGUAAGACAGAUGUGAAAAUCCCCGGGCGUUAACCUGGGAACUGCGCUUGUAACUGGCAGACUGGAGUGUGGCAGAGGGGGGUGGAAUUCCAAGUGUAGCAGUGAAAUGCGUAGAUAUUUGGAGGAACACCGAUGGCGAAGGCAGCCCCUCGGG
rnacentral:rRNA from 1 species